CAGGUGCCCAGGGAACCCAGGAUUUCCCAGUCUCGGGCUUCUGCCCAAGCCCUGGGCUGCAGCCACCUGACAUAGAGGACGCAGGAGCUGGGCUGAUUCGCCCUUGCCAGUCCCUCCAUGCAGGGGAGAUCCAGGUCCUGCAUGAGGACCUGAAGACUGUAUUUGCAGGCCUAGAACUUUCCAGAGGGCAAUUCAGUGGCUGCUCCCACCCUGACCCCUAUUGUUGUUGCUUGUAGGGAACCCAAUAGAAUGUGCUUUUCCAAGUGGGCGAGAGGGGAACAGGGUGAAGAAAUAGAGAUUCUAGGAAUAGACCCAGCCAACUUUGGGGAGACUUUCCAUCUUGAGGGGAACACGACUGAGACCCCAGGUUUUGGGGACCCUGGGUUGUUUUAGCCAGCUGACCCCGCUGGAGUUUCUCUAGCCUGUCACUGUUAGAAUAUUCUUCUGUAGCCAAUCAACCAACAAUUAAUUGAGGCUCUUGUGUACCCAGCCUAAGACAAACAGAUCGCAGUUCUAAAUACUGGCUCAGGCGCUGCCCAGCUGUGCAAUCCUGGGUAAUUGCUCUAACCUCUCUGAAUUCCAAGUGCCUUGAUGCUCCUUGGCUCAGUGUCUAGAAUAUAGGAGAUCUCCACCCCCACACCCAACUAACGUUGCACGGGAGAUGAGAAUCGCAGAGCGCGGGGGCUGGCAGGAAACUUCUUCCCUUCCCUCAAGGAGCAAAGCCAGAGAGACGCUAUGGAAUGCCCAGGUCACACAGCCAGGAGCAGGACCUAGGUUGUCAUGGCGGAACCUUCAAAGGGUGUCCCUUCCCGCCCUUCUGGGCCUGGAUGAGGCAGCUUCCCGGCUUGCUGAGUCAGGGUGGAGAGAGGCUGAGCUGUGGAUUGGCAGGCGGGAAUGACAGGAGUGUGAGGGUGGGGUGUCGUGGGGAAGUCGGGGGCAGAAGAGUAGCCAGCAUGUUGCGCAAGGAAGAGUGGAGGCAGGGGAGGGUCCGUUUUAACGAGGCAGCCAAAGAGGAGGGGGGCUGGCUCCCUGGACAGAAGGCCACCCGCCCCCCUGACGGUGCUCCCUGCUGCAGGGAUCAAAGCUGCUCUGGGCACCAUUCCCUGGGAACAGGGCAGCGGUGCGGGGCCACUAACGCCCGAGCUUCUCACAGGUGCCUGUGUGAUGUAGCUGCCUCCGUGGCCUUCGUGCCCAGCUCACCGCCCCCGCUUGCUUCUGAAGAGGCCUGUUCCAGCCCAAUUGUCCCUUCACGCCUCCGGCUUGGGUUGCUGACUCAGCCCUCUGGAUUGAUGUGCAGGGGCACCUGUGGCUGCAGACUGCACACUUCAUCCGUGCCCUAGGUGGCUUCCCCACCUCAGCACCACCUCCGUCUCCCUCUGUUCUCCAGCGUGGCUCAGGACGCAGCUAAGCUUAUGUGCUCAGUGACCCCAGUCUCUGACUCUCAGCUUGGCCUGUGGACUUGACAUAGGUCAGCAAAGUGAGUGCGGUGGGCCUGGCCCUUGCCCUACCCUGGACCUUUUCAAAUCUUAGCUCCAGGUUGACACCUGCAGGUCCCUCCAUGAGCCUCCUAGGUGGGAGGCUCCUCUGUCUCUCUCUCAGCUGCUGUUCCUGCAGUGCCACCGAGAGGCCCAGCUCAGGCCAGAAGGCCCAGGUCUGUGUCACGUUACCCACCACGGGGGGCUGGCUUUGGUUGUGGCACAGAAGCCAGCCGGGGAGGGGAGGUGAGGAAGUGUGGCCGAGCAGGGCAGCUGGGAGAGUCCUCUGGCCAAGGCCGGAGGACACAUUAGGUGGUGAUGGGUGGAAAGAUCCGAAGAGGGAGCGGGAACUGGGCUUUCUUCAAAAUCACAGGGAGAAAAGAAUUUGAACUUCUUUGUGGGGGUUGUGAACGCUAGAGAAUGGUUUCUUCAAUACGACUAAGAUGGCUUCUGAGGUUCUCCAAUACGUUCACCUUAGGGCUGCUUCUGUCUUCCACGGCCGCGGCCCCCUAUUCCUCCUCUCCUCUAGCCUCCGCUCAACAUUUUUCUGGAGAUUUUUGAGGUCUUUGGAUGGGCAUUAGUUCACUCAUUUUGCAGAUGAGAAAACAGAGACUUAGAAAGAUCUGGUGAUUUACUUACAGAUGCACAGCCAGGAAACUCAGCAGGUCUCCCUGGCUUCAAAGCCUGUGCUCGCUCCAUCACACCCUCACGCAGAUGUGCACGGUGUGUGCAUGUGCACAGCUGCGGUUUAUAUAUUCCAGUGCGUGUGAUUUCCCAGGAGCCCUUAGAGAAUUGUUUACUGGGCUCUCUUCCCUCCCUCCCCUCUUCUCUUUCCCCCUCUCCCCCCUUCCUCCUUCCUUCCCUCCCUCCCUUCCUUUUCUUCCCCUUCCUUGUGUUCUUUCUUUCCCCCCAGAUGAUGCGAUGGGCUAUCUUUGUUCGUGGUGUGUUUUCUCUCCAGGACUUAGAGGAUUAGAAAUGCUGGCAUUUGUCUCUCUGCAGCUUCAAGAACACCAGCUCCUAGGCCCGAGGAGGAGGAAAGUGGUUUUAUAGCUCUCACCUGAGUCUUGGCACCAAUGUGGCUUCUAGGUGAAAUGGAGUUUCUCUGAACUGGGAUGGACGAGCACUGGGUCCUGAUGGGUCACCGUGUGGAGUCACCAGCGUUACAGGCAGCAGAAGCGGGUCCACGGGCCAGCAGUGGUGGAGAGGACCACCCCACCCAGUGUGAGAGACUAAUUCCUGAUGGCUGUCCACAGAAGGACACAUCCUCCUAGUGAUGUUUGCUUGGGCUGAGCCAAAAUGAAGAGGGCCUGUGUGGGCCAGGGGUGUCAGCUGGACUUCUCCGUGGGCAGAGCCGGUAGCCCACUCCCAGGGAACUCCACGCACUCCCUGGUUUCUGCUCAUGACACUGCAAUAAUACUGCAAUCAUUUGCAUCACGGUUUUAACUUUUCAAAACCUUUUGCAGCCAACAUUUCAUUUCACGUCAGCUGUGAGGGAGGCCAAACAGGUGUUGCAGGUUAGCUGAGGACACAGACGCAGAGAGGCUGUGUGAUGAUGGAGUGUGGUCAUGAAAAGGCACUGGUUUAAGAGCCAGGAGUUCAGGGUUCCAGUCCAGUGCCAAGUUCAGGCAACCAUGUGGGCCUCUGUUGAAAUGUUUGGACAGGAUGGCCACCAAGCCCCUCACCAUCAAGGCUGUGAUUUGAUGACUGUCCAAGUUCCUGCAGUUAGCUUGGGGUCAAAUGGGACACGGCUGUGCUCAACUGGCUGCUCACGAUUCACGGGGCCAGAUGCUGAUUUGCCCAUCAUACGAUGGCUCCAGGCAGGUCCCGCCAUCCUGACACGGCUCUCUCUCCUUUGGGUGUUGGCGCAUCCUCUCAGGUGCCUGGGGGUGGUUGUGGGGUGGUGGACGGGGGUAUUGUGCCACACACAGAGAGGCACAGCGGGCUGGAGCAGAUGGAAUUGUUGGGGACGAGGUCCCCCACUGCAACCCCUGUCAGAGGCACUGUGGGCAGGAACCCUGUGCCCCAUGAAAGCCCCUGUAAUUCAUGCCAUCUGCCCGCAUAAAACCAGCACAUCUCCAGAGUCUGAUUCUCCACAUGGCUUUGGGGGCCUAAUCAAAGCCAGGCCCCUCCCUGGUCUGCUAACAGUCUUCAGCCAUCCUGGCUCCAGGCCCCCUUAACCCCUUCACCCCCAGCUUCCUCUCCCUCCCCGGGAUCUCUGCUCUGCUGCCCUUUCCGUGCCCUGGACUAGGUCACACACAGGAGGUCAUCCUAAAGCCAAGUGCGAUUUCCUGGGAGAAUGGCCCAGGCUGGGAUCAGGAGUCCUGGGCUCCUCUCCUGGGGCCACUGCUGACUUGCUGUGUGGCUUUGAGAAAGUCAUGUAACCUUGUGAAGCCUCAGUUUCCCUAUUUUUGGCAACCUACAUUUAUAUUGCAAUAAAGAGCUUACAAAAUUACUUUUUACCUA